UUUGUAAAUGCUGGUUUUGGUCAGGACAAACUAAUGACAGUACCUUCAGACUCCACCACCGGAUCUUCUGGAAAUUGGCUCUUCAAAAAUAAAGAACAUGGCAAGACUAGUGCAGCUGCUAGUUUGGGUAUGAUUCAACUUUGGGAUGUGGACUCCGGACUUUCCCA